AUUGAACGCUGGCUGCAUGCUUUACACAUGCAAGUCGAGGGGAAACGACGGGGAGCUUUGCCUCCCGCGGGGUAGAGGCGAACAGGGGAGAGAUAUAUCUGAACAACCUGCCUCUUGCUGGAUGAUCACUCGUAAAAUUGGCUAAUACUACCUCCUGGCAUCGGCUGAAGGCAUGGGAUCACAAUACCUCAUUUCAUUCGAGCGGGAUGGGGAUGCUUCUGAUUAUGUUGGGGGAAGGGUAUCCCCCCGCCACGGUUACUAUCGGGAGGGGUACUAAGAUGAAGGUCCCCGGGAUUGAAACUGAGACCAGGCCCCUACUCCUACCGGAGGUGGGGAAUUUGAAUAUUGGUCAAUGAGCCAGAGCCUGACCCACCCAAUGAGCGAGCAAGAACACCGGCCUAUGGGUUGUAUUUUGUUUGUAUGAAGGGAUAAAGUGAGGGACGUGUCCCUCAUUGCAGGACCCGAAUGAAUAAGGACCGGUAAAUUCGUGCCAAGCAGCCGCGGUAUUCCUGAAGGUCCAGGCUUAAUCCGAAUUUAUGGGCGUUAAAGGAAGCCUAGGCCGUGGAUUAACCGUGUGGUGAAAUGCCGGUGCUCAACGUCUGCACUGCAUCGCGACCUGAUCCACUUAGUGGGGGCACAACGCCGGUCGAAAUUCGCCGUGUAGCGGUAAAAAUGCUUAAAUAUGACAAAGAACUCCGAUUGCGAAGGCAUCUCGCGGGAGCACAACAGACGCCGAAUUCUAAAGUGUGGGUAUCCAACCGGAUAAAUAUCCUGGUAGUCCACGGGCGAUUUCUCUCUUGGUUUCAGGUCCUCGUUCCCUCUUCUCCAAUAGGGGCCCCUACUCAUGUUUUUCAUCCUCGAGAUGCGUUCU
rnacentral:rRNA from 1 species